rnacentral:rRNA from 1 species
UACGUAGGGGGCAAGCGUUGUCCGGAAUCAUUGGGCGUAAAGCGCGUGUAGGCGGCUCGAUAAGUCUGCUGUGAAAGUUCAGGGCUCAACCCUGAAAUGCCGGUGGAAACUGUCGAGCUAGAGUCCGGAAGAGGCGAGUGGAAUUCCUGGUGUAGCGGUGGAAUGCGUAGAGAUCCGGAAGAACACCGGUGGCGAAGGCGGUCUGCUGGGCGAGUAGCUGGACACUGAGGCGCGACAGCGUGGGGAGCAAACAGG